UACGUAGGGGGGCUAGCGUUGUCCGGAAUCAUUGGGCGUAAAGCGCGCGUAGGCGGCCCUGUUAGUCCGCUGUAAAAGUCAAAGGCUCAACCUUUGAAUGCCGGUGGAUACUGCAGGGCUAGAGUCCGGAAGAGGCGAGUGGAAUUCCUGGUGUAGCGGUGGAAUGCGCAGAUAUCAGGAGGAACACCAACGGCGAAGGCAGCUCGCUGGGACGGUACUGACGCUGAGGCGCGAAAAGCGUGGGGGAGCGAACAGG
rnacentral:rRNA from 1 species